CUAUUGAGUUCGUUUUGGAGCUACUUUCUCUUGUUUUAAGUAACAAUUACUUUAGAUUUGAAGAUAAAUGGUACCGCCAAGUUUCAGGCACGUCUAUGGGGGCCGCUAUGGCCCCAUGUAUGCCAACGCAUACAUGUAUAUAUAUGAGCAAAGAUGGAUCCUAUCAAAAUACAGUCAAUACAUCCAAGGCUACUUCAGGUAUAUUGAUAAUCUGCUUAUACUCUGGGUGGCAGUACAACAGAGGCUAUGGAGAUGGUACAGUUUUUAAACCAAGUGGAGAGUCCAAUAAGAUUUACAUGUUUCCUUAAAUGAACAGAGGCUUACAUAUUGUCUCUACAAGAAAGAAACAGAUUGUAACACCAUUCUGCAUAAUACAAGCACACACCCAGAGGCUUUGAAAAAGCCCAGUUUCUUAGAGUAAUCCGAAACAAUUUGGAUAUAAACAAGAUGGAUGAGCAAUUAGAAGAAAUGGUGGAUAAAUUUCUCGAGCGUGGCUAUCAGUAUAAAGACUUAGUCAGAGCAUUAGAGGAGGCAAAGUCUGCCGACGUGACUAAAUUGGAUGAGAAGGCCCCGAGAUUGGUUUUCCCCACUACUUUUCACGAUGC